UUCAACAAAAUUGGUGGGGAAGACAUCUGCACAGAAUUAGAAAAAUAAUAAAUGCAGACAUGGUACCUUAGAGUGCUGGAAAAGGCACCCCACCCUCGGGGAAGCUGAUCUGAGAGGCAUGCAGGGCGUCCUGGUGUGGGGAGCUGUGUGGAGAGUGCGUCUGGAGGCAGUGAGUCUUACUUCCUUACUUUGUAGCCAUGCAGCUCAGCAGCCUCAGGGAGAGUCAGCUCCCUGCAAUUUGCUUUCCAGGAACCGUGGAGCAUGCAACACAUCCCGGCACUGUUUUCAGCCUUCUGUGGCCUCUUGGUCGCCCUUUCCUACCAUCUGAGCCGGCAGAGCAGUGACCCAUCUGUACUCAUGUCCUUCAUCCAAUGCAGGCUGUUUCCUAAAUUUUUACAUCAAAAUCUGGAAGAGUCAGCUGCUGACCCUCUCCCCAAGAAGAUGAAAGAUUCAGUGAUGGAUGUCUUAAAAUGGGAUCUCAUCGUCUGCGCAGUGGUUGCUGUCCUCUCAUUUGCAGUCAGCGCCAGCACUGUAUUCCUGUCAUUGCGACCAUUUCUCAGCAUCGUGCUGUUUGCCUUGGCUGGAGCCGUGGGGUUUGUAACACAUUACGUGCUCCCUCAGCUCCGCAAGCAUCAUCCCUGGAUGUGGAUUUCACACCCCAUUCUCAAAAACAAAGAGUAUCAUCAACGGGAAGUGAGAGAUGUCGCCCAUUUAAUGUGGUUCGAAAGACUCUAUGUUUGGCUUCAG
rnacentral:sRNA from 1 species